CCCUGUAUGUGUAACAGAAGACUCAACUAUCUUUUAUUUUAUUAUGAUUUUUUAAAAUUUCAACAUUCCUCCCUCUCUUUCCUUCUUCCCUCUCUUCUUUCUUCUCUUCUUCCUCAGUUUCCAGUUCCUCAGCCCAUAGGUCUCCCUUCCCAGAACCAGUCAAUGUCAAAAGAGUCCCAUCUGUGAUUUUAGAUGAUCUGCGCAUAGAUGGCAAAAUCCCUAUGUGUGAAUACCAUUUCUUUCUCUGCGGGGUCAGGUUGUUGUGUCUGAGAGCACAUGAGCACUGUGAUUUAGGCCACAAUCAGGGAAAAGAGGGCAGUCUGCCAUCCGUCCCAUUUCUCCUGAGUUUCUAACACCAUUCCCACCUGCCACCUACUAGCUGCUGCCGUUGUCCUCUCUGCACUCAGGGCCUAUUCCUGGGCACACGUGAUGACAUGGGGACAUCUGUGACGACAUGACUGUGGAUCCCAGGGUGGUCCAUCCCCACUGAUGGAGAAUCCCUCGGUUUCAGGAGGUCCUGAGCUCUGUCUUGAUUUCCUUCUCUGCAGGCAGGAAGCAGGAAGACUGGAAGACAAUUUGGGAUGGUCUCCAGAAAUGUGCCUGCCACAGGUGGCCCUCUGGGGACCCUGCUUCUCCCCCAGGGGCAGCUUUUAGACCACGUUCUGUUGACUCAGUCACCUGGUGCAGAACCACGCACCUGAAAGAUGGCCAAAGGCAUUGUUCCUCAAAUUUGAGCCACACACCGAUCUCCAGGGAACCCUUGUUAAAAGCAGAUUCUCACUCAGUUAAUCUGUGUGGGGCUGACAUCCUGCACUAAUCAUGGUGGGCUCCCAGGUGCUGCUGAUGCCACUGGCCCACACACUGACCCGUUUGGAAUAGCAAGGAAGCACCGUGUUCUCCUUCCAGCCCUGUUCACACUCCAUGCAGUACCAGAUACUGUCUAGAGCCCUACACUGCAUGGAUUCCGGCUCUGUCACCGGGUAGCUGUUAAUUGUGACAUUAUCAUCUUUCCUCUUCCUGACUGUCCAGAGGGUGUGUGGUUUUGUUUUGUUUUGUUUUGUUUUUAGGUGAGAGAACUGCUCAGAAAUGUUAAGUAACGCAGCAGCAGUCACACAGCUAAGGGACACACAGGAACGUCCCAAGUGGCGAAGGUCAUUUUCCAUCACUGCCAUCCUCCACGAGCCUGUGUCUGGAAUGGGACUUGUCUUUGCACUGAUGAACAGGUUGGAUGGAGACUGGAAAACACUAGACAGAGGUAAUAUGGACCCAGAGAGAACUGAAUCCUUGUGCCCAGUGACUAGAAGAUGCAUGAACCUGGAAAAAGGAGCCUAGAAGAUCGCUAUGCUUCCCCCACAUAGGAGAACACCCACCCCUUCCCGCCCCUUGCCCGUAACACAUGAUACAUUUAGCAGUGAUCGAUCACUACUGAGCUAUCUUCAUUUAAUGUGGUUUUGACAGAACAGUUGGUCUGGAAAUUUUAUUUUCAAUUAAACUUCCUUGUUGAA